GAUGAACGCUGGCGGCGUGCCUAAUACAUGCAAGUCGAGCGAACGGACGAGAAGCUUGCUUCUCUGAUGUUAGCGGCGGACGGGUGAGUAACACGUGGAUAACCUACCUAUAAGACUGGGAUAACUUCGGGAAACCGGAGCUAAUACCGGAUAAUAUUUUGAACCGCAUGGUUCAAAAGUGAAAGACGGUCUUGCUGUCGCCUAUAGAUGGAUCCGCGCUGCAUUAGCUAGUUGGUAAGGUAACGGCUUACCAAGGCAACGAUGCAUAGCCGACCUGAGAGGGUGAUCGGCCACACUGGAACUGAGACACGGUCCAGACUCCUACGGGAGGCAGCAGUAGGGAAUCUUCCGCAAUGGGCGAAAGCCUGACGGAGCAACGCCGCGUGAGUGAUGAAGGUCUUCGGAUCGUAAAACUCUGUUAUUAGGGAAGAACAUAUGUGUAAGUAACUGUGCACAUCUUGACGGUACCUAAUCAGAAAGCCACGGCUAACUACGUG
rnacentral:rRNA from 1 species